rnacentral:rRNA from 1 species
UACGUAGGGUGCGAGCGUUGUCCGGAAUUACUGGGCGUAAAGAGCUCGUAGGUGGUUUGUCGCGUUGUUCGUGAAAACUCACAGCUUAACUGUGGGCGUGCGGGCGAUACGGGCAGACUGGAGUACUGCAGGGGAGACUGGAAUUCCUGGUGUAGCGGUGGAAUGCGCAGAUAUCAGGAGGAACACCGGUGGCGAAGGCGGGUCUCUGGACGGCAACUGACGCUGAGGCACGAAAGCGUGGGGAGCAAACAGG